UACGUAGGGGGGCUAGCGUUGUCCGGAAUCAUUGGGCGUAAAGAGCGCGUAGGCGGCCCGGUAAGUCCGCUGUAAAAGUCCAGGGCUCAACCCUGGAAAGCCGGUGGAUACUGUCGGGCUCGAGUCCGGAAGAGGCGAGUGGAAUUCCUGGUGUAGCGGUGGAAUGCGCAGAUAUCAGGAGGAACACCAAUAGCGAAGGCAGCUCGCUGGGACGGUACUGACGCUGAGGCGCGAAAGCGUGGGGAGCGAACAGG
rnacentral:rRNA from 1 species